CGCCCGUCACACCAUGAGAGUUGGUAAUACCAGAAGUAGGUAGCUUAACCAUUUGGAGAGCGCUUCCCAAGGUAGGACUAGCGAUUGGGGUGAAGUCGUAACAAGGUAUCCGUACGGGAACGUGCGGAUGGAUCACCUCCUUUCUAUGGAGAUAUUUAUAUUACUGACUAUUUAAUUCUAUUUAGUUUUCAGAGAUCGUCACACAUCUUUAAAUAUAGAUUGUUCUUUGAAAACUGAAUAUUAGAUGAAAUGCAAUUUUCUGAUUAUAACAAUAUUUAUAAUUAGAUAAUUAUUACGAUAUUAAAUUCGUAAUGACAUCAAAAACAAUUAACUAAAAUUAAUUGAGUUACAAAUUGCUAGAAAGAUUUUCUAAAAAAUAGUAAGAGCAUAUGGUGAAUGCCUUGGAAAAUGGAGCCGAAGAAGGACGUGACUACCUGCGAUAAGUCUGGGGGAGCUGGAAGUAAGCUUUGAUCCCGGAAUUUCCGAAUGGGGAAACCUAACAUGAUUUAUCUCAUGUUAUCUAUAAGUGAAUACAUAGCUUAUAUGAUGGGAACCUAGGGAACUGAAACAUCUUAGUACCUAGAGGAAAAGAAAAUAAUAAUGAUUCUGCUAGUAGCGGCGAGCGAAAACGGAACAGGCCAAACCAUCCUAUGGGGUGGGGUUGUAGGACUUUUGUUCGAGUUAGAAAAUCAUUGUAUAAUAGAAGCUACUGGGAAGUAGCGCCAUAGAGGGUGAUAGCCCCGUAUAUGAAAUAUAAUGAUCUCAAUAAAGUAUCCUGAGUACGGCGAAACACGUGAAAUUUUGUCGGAAUCUGCCAAGACCACUUGGUAAGCCUAAAUACUACCAUUUUACCGAUAGUGAACCA
rnacentral:sRNA from 1 species